CUGGACAGUGAAUGAAAGUGAAGUUGCUAACUUGUGACCGACUCUUUUGCGGCCCGCUGGACUGUAGCCCUCCAGGCUCCUCUGUCCGUGGGAUUUCCCAGGCAGGAUUAUGGGUGUGGGUUGCUAUUCCCUUCUCCAGGGGAUCUUCC